rnacentral:lncRNA from 1 species
GUACCUGUUAAUGUCACUUUUUAGUCAACUUUGUACCAGAGGUAUAGCUAGUACAGUAAGUUUUUUAAAAAGCUAUGAGCAUUAAAAGGAAAAAUAAAACUAUCAGUAUUUGUAGAUUAUAUGACUAUGUAUGUGGUUCAGAGAAAUCAACAAAUGAAUUAUUAGGAUUACUCUUGAGUUUAAAUUUGGAUGUAAAAGUCAUUAUGUUUUUAAACCCUUUGCUGGCAUAUGCAGUGAAAAAACCUAUAUAAUUACAAUAAUAUAAAAUGGUAUAUGACUAAAUCUAAUAAACAACAUGCAAUAUCUUUAUGAGAAUUAUCAAACAUCUUUGGCUGAGCUAAAGAAAGAACACAUUAAGUGGCAUAAUGUACCAUGUUCAUGGACGAAAAUUGAAUGUUGUGAUGAUGUCCAUAGGUUCACCGCCAUACAAUCAAAAUAUCUACACUUUGUGGAAGUUGAUAAUCUGAUUCUAAAACUUAGAGGGAAGAGCUAAGAGGGAAGGUAUACUCAUUAAGGAAAGUUCUUCAAAAACUAACUUUUAUGAGUGUCAACAUAAUAAUGGAAAAUUCCACACUUGAUCUGAUAUGACAGAUGAGUUGCAGAAUACAGGCACACUAAAAAUAUUAUAUAAAAUUACCUUCAGGCUAUGUGUAUAAGGCUUGUAUGUAACACAAAUUAAUUUUGUUGUUUAGAUUUGGGUUCUGUCCUCAAGAUAUCUUAUUGUGUGUAUGCACAUAAUCCAAAAUCUGAAAAAAAUCCCAAACAAAUCUGUUUCCAAAUGUGAUACAUUUCUGGUCCCAAGCAUUUCAGUAUAAUCAGCCUCUCUAGGAUAUUCAUAUAAAUAAUAAGAGAUCUCCAAAUUAAAACCACAGUGAGAAAACAUUUCAUAUCACCUACGUUCUCAAAAAUUAAAAGCAGAGUAAUAUUGCUGUUCAUAUGGAUUUGAGACAGCCAUACCAGGUAGAACAUGUUGAGGCUAAUGUAAAUUGGGACAUCUUACACCAUAAUCUUUUUUUCCUAUGUCUUAGGAAAUAAACCAGGUGAUCUAUGCAGUAGUUCAUAUAGCUCUCCUCAUAGUAACAAAACUAAACUAAAAUAAAUACCAUCAAAAAUUCGAUAAACAAAUUGUGG